UACGUAGGCAGCGAGCGUUGUUCGGAGUUACUGGGCGUAAAGCGCACGUAGGCGGGUCCUUAAGUCAGGGGUGAAAUCCCGGAGCUCAACUCCGGAACUGCCUUUGAUACUGGGGAUCUUGAGUACGGGAGAGGUGAGUGGAACUGCGAGUGUAGAGGUGAAAUUCGUAGAUAUUCGCAAGAACACCAGUGGCGAAGGCGGCUCACUGGCCCGUUACUGACGCUGAGGCACGAAAGCGUGGGGAGCAAACAGG
rnacentral:rRNA from 1 species